CGGUGUUUAACUGGCGUGAUGUGGGACGUCCUACCGGUGGGCUUAGCCUCGCGAGGGGCGGCCCAACUAAUAUCCCGUCGCGGCGCUCUUUACUGAGUGUCGAGUCGGGCCGGUACGUUUACUUUGAACAAAUUAGAGUGCUUAAAGCAGGCUAUCCUCGCCUGAAUACUGCGUGCAUGGAAUAAUGGAAUAGGACCUCGGUUCUAUUUUGUUGGUUUUCGGAACCCCGAGGUAAUGAUUAAUAGGGACAGAUGGGGGCAUUCGUAUUGCGACGUUAGAGGUGAAAUUCUUGGAUCGUCGCAAGACGGACAGAAGCGAAAGCAUUUGCCAAAAAUGUUUUCAUUAAUCAAGAACGAAAGUUAGAGGUUCGAAGGCGAUCAGAUACCGCCCUAGUUCUAACCAUAAACGAUGCCAGCUAGCGAUCCGCCGAAGUUCCUCCGAUGACUCGGCGGGCAGCUUCCGGGAAACCAAAGCUUUUGGGUUCCGGGGGAAGUAUGGUUGCAAAGCUGAAACUUAAAGGAAUUGACGGAAGGGCACCACCAGGAGUGGAGCCUGCGGCUUAAUUUGACUCAACACGGGAAACCUCACCAGGCCCAGACACCGGAAGGAUUGACAGAUUGAUAGCUCUUUCUUGAUUCGGUGGGUGGUGGUGCAUGGCCGUUCUUAGUUGGUGGAGCGAUUUGUCUGGUUAAUUCCGAUAACGAACGAGACUCUAGCCUGCUAAAUAGGCGUACCUUAUGGUAUCGCGAAGGCCCCCGGCUUCGGCCGGUGGGUUUUUACUACCAACGUACAAACAAAUCUUCUUAGAGGGACAGGCGG
rnacentral:rRNA from 1 species